GUAAAUAUACCUGACGCCUGACGCGUCCGGACGCGUUCAAAAUUUGUACACCGAAUGUUCAAUAUUUUAACGUCAUAUGUUCAUGCUUAGAGACGUGUUCAAAGUUUUAACGUUUGUGUUAAAAAUAUUAACAUGUGUGUUCAGACGCAGUGAACACCGGUGUUCAAAUUCUGAUCUAAAAAAGAAGAUAGUCGUUUGUCCGAUUUUCUAUCCUUCCAAUUGGCAAAUUCAAAAAGAAAUUCUUUAAAAAAUAUGAAUGUAUACGCAGGAUGAUGAUCUUGUGAAUUUUUGGCUAAUAUUUUAGUAAUUGUGAAAUAUUAAACUUCCAAGCUGGCAUAUAUGUAUAGUUUAUGAAUUUAUUUUAUUGUUUAUUUAUAUAUACUAGUUUUACUUAUAAGUGACAUAAUUAUGCAUAUCAAUGAGGCCUGUUAUGAUAAUAUCGUAAUAAAAAUAUGUCGAUGUUUAUCUUAUUUCAUGAUCCGUUCAUUUUAUUAACAUUACAUGUUCAAUCAGUGUUCAAAUCGCUCGAAAUUUUGAACACCUCGUGUUAAAAAAAAAUAUACCAGGAUACCAAAUACCGGAAACAGAUAUCGGCUGGCGAUUUAGGCGGUUAAACGAAGAAUGGAUACACAUAAGAAAGAGAACUGGAGAAGGGACUUCUAUCCCAUAUGAACACGAAAGAAGAAUCGUUAGAUUAAAAUGUUUGAAUUAGGAACCGGUAGCCAAUAAUCCCAAAAAGGUCAUUUCUGCAUGCUACAAAGUGGUGGAAAAAAGAAAGAUGUCGAAAAAAGGAUAUAUAGGCUCAUAGACAUUCCUUGUUGUGGAGGAUUUUGACAUUGGAAGUUGAUAACA